UGCUUAACACAUGCAAGUCGAACGGAAAGGCCCUGCUUUUGUGGGGUGCUCGAGUGGCGAACGGGUGAGUAACACGUGAGUAACCUGCCCUUGACUUUGGGAUAACUUCAGGAAACUGGGGCUAAUACCGGAUAGGAGCUCCUGCUGCAUGGUGGGGGUUGGAAAGUUUCGGCGGUUGGGGAUGGACUCGCGGCUUAUCAGCUUGUUGGUGGGGUAGUGGCUUACCAAGGCUUUGACGGGUAGCCGGCCUGAGAGGGUGACCGGCCACAUUGGGACUGAGAUACGGCCUAGACUCCUACGGGAGGCAGCAGUGGGGAAUAUUGCACAAUGGGCGGAAGCCUGAUGCAGCAACGCCGCGUGCGGGAUGACGGCCUUCGGGUUGUAAACCGCUUUCGCCUGUGACGAAGCGUGAGUGACGGUAAUGGGUAAAGAAGCACCGGCUAACUACGUGCCAGCAGCCGCGGUGAUACGUAGGGUGCGAGCGUUGUCCGGAUUUAUUGGGCGUAAAGGGCUCGUAGGUGGUUGAUCGCGUCGGAAGUGUAAUCUUGGGGCUUAACCCUGAGCGUGCUUUCGAUACGGGUUGACUUGAGGAAGGUAGGGGAGAAUGGAAUUCCUGGUGGAGCGGUGGAAUGCGCAGAUAUCAGGAGGAACACCAGUGGUGAAGGCGGUUCUCUGGGCCUUUCCUGACGCUGAGGAGCGAAAGCGUGGGGAGCGAACAGGCUUAGAUACCCUGGUAGUCCACGCUGUAAACGGUGGGUACUAGGUGUGGGGUCCAUUCCACGGGUUCCGUGCCGUAGCUAACGCUUUAAGUACCCCGCCUGGGGAGUACGGCCGCAAGGCUAAAACUCAAAGGAAUUGACGGGGCCCCGCACAAGCGGCGGAGCAUGCGGAUUAAUUCGAUGCAACGCGUAGAACCUUACCUGGGUUUGACAUGGAUCGGGAGUGCUCAGAGAUGGGUGUGCCUCUUUUGGGGUCGGUUCACAGGUGGUGCAUGGCUGUCGUCAGCUCGUGUCGUGAGAUGUUGGGUUAAGUCCCGCAACGAGCGCAACCCUUGUUCACUGUUGCCAGCACGUUAUGGUGGGGACUCAGUGGAGACCGCCGGGGUCAACUCGGAGGAAGGUGGGGAUGACGUCAAGUCAUCAUGCCCCUUAUGUCCAGGGCUUCACGCAUGCUACAAUGGCUGGUACAGAGAGUGGCGAGCCUGUGAGGGUGAGCGAAUCUCGGAAAGCCGGUCUCAGUUCGGAUUGGGGUCUGCAACUCGACCUCAUGAAGUCGGAGUCGCUAGUAAUCGCAGAUCAGCAACGCUGCGGUGAAUACGUUCCCGGGGCUUGUACACACCGCCCGUCAAGUCAUGAAAGUUGGUAACACCCGAAGCCGGUGGCCUAACCGUUGUGGGGGAGCCGUCGAAGGUGGGACUGGUGAUUAGGACUAAGUCGUA
rnacentral:rRNA from 1 species